rnacentral:lncRNA from 1 species
UUGCUCAACCUUUCGUCGUUCUUCAAAAAACAUCUCAAAACAAAUCAAACCUAACUUCUCGCCCCCGAGCGAUCGAAACCAAAUCUAAUUUCUCGCCCCCGAGCGAUCGAAACCAAUCACACCCAAACACAUCAAUUCAACUUGUCACCCCCGCGUGACCAAAACCCUUUCAAAAAGAACACUGUCAAUCCUUUCUAAUGCGCACAACAAACCAGUGCUAGAGCC